GACGAACGCUGGCGGCGUGGAUUAGGCAUGCAAGUCGAACGGUAUCAUCCUUUCGGGGGUGAGAGAGUGGCGAACUGGUGAGUAACACGUAGGUUAUCUACCCUCAAGACGGGGACAACCCAGGGAAACUUGGGCUAAUACCGGAUGUGAGCAACUUUUAGUUGUUUGAAAGGUGGCGUAAGCUGUCGCUUGGGGAUGAGCCUGCGUCCUAUUAGUUAGUUGGUGAGGUAACGGCUCACCUAGGCAAUGAUAGGUAGGCGGCCUUAACGGGUGGUCGCCCACACUGGGAUUGAGAUACGGCCCAGACUCCUACGGGAGGCAGCAGUCGAGAAUAGUCUACAAUGGUCGGAAGACUGAUAGUGCGACGCCGCGUGAACGAUGAAUCCCUUCGGGGUGUAAAGUUCUUUUAUAUGUGAGCAGUGCUUCUUAUAUUAACAGUAUGGGGAAGAGAUAUUAGCAUAUGAAUAAGCAAACGGCUAAACUCCGUGCCAGCAGCCGCGGUAAUA
rnacentral:rRNA from 1 species